rnacentral:tRNA from 1 species
UAUAUUUUAAUAUAAGAUGUAUAAAGAAGUUUGAUUUCUUAAGAAAUAGUUUGAUUCUAUUAAAUAUAA